UCCUUUUGUCUACGUCACUUGUGGAUAUACCAGGAAAUGUUUCUUCGACUUGAGAAACAAAUAGGCUGUAAAAUUAAUCACAUUUCAUAGGAAUGAAUCUCUUGCAAUUAUAUAAUUAAUUAUAUGUGUUUUGAAGUGUCCAUAUAUGUUACCUUUCAAAAUAACGCAUCAAUGGAUCCUCGCAAUUGAGUAGAAUAUAGGUGUGUGCACUAUGAGCGUCUUGUUCACUCGACCACCAAACCUCUUUAGACUUCCCACCGAGUCGUCCAAUCUGGCUAAAGAUGUCUGGAACACCAGCAACUGCAUAUGUUGGCGCAACUCCACCAUCAUCAUAUCUUCUUGGAGCUCUUCUACGGGUACGUACUUUUGACGCAAAGUAGUACGAUGUGAAGUGAGAAACUUCUUCCGUCAAACUUCCAGCAAUUAUAGAACCUUCAACUUUGGCGAGGUUCUUUGCUUUUCCCUUCAAAUAUUUCAUGGCUCGCUCAUACUGAUACAUCCAUCUGUAAUGUACAGGUCCACGAAGCAAUGCUUCAUAUGGGAGGUGGACAGCUAGAUGCUCCAUGACGUCAAAAAAUCCAGGAGGAAAUAUCUUUUCCAAGUUGCACAAUAAGAUGGGAAUGUUCUCCUGAAGCUGUUCCACAACUUCUUCUUUAAGAGUGCGUGUGCUCAGAUUCCUGAAAAAUGCUCCAAUGCCUUUUAUAUUCCAAAAACAAUUAAACACAUUGUUAGUCGUAUAUUAUUUUGCAAACUAGACCGUUAUAAAAUUAUUGUGAUAUAAAACACUACGAACCUGCAAGUGCUUCAUGUACGUUUGUUGGAAGUAGCUCCGCAAAUGCAAAGGACAGUAGUCGUUGCAUAAAGACAUGACAAUCAUGACUCUUCAUCCCAGAGAAAUUUUGACCCUUUUCAACACAUCUAGAGAGAUUUGAAACAUACCCAUCGGGGAACUUCACUUCUGAUGCCACCCAGUUGAACAACACCGACUUUUUUUCUGAAGACAGUCUGAAUAUCGGAACGGGAACUUGUCCAUUGCUUUUAAUAUGUAACUCGCUUCUUGAGCAAAUAUCCGGCAAGUCCAACCUCGAUUUUAUGGUUUCUUUUGUCUUCCCUGGGACAUUCAAUAUUGUAUUCAUGAUGUUCUCAAAGAAAUUCUUCUCUAUAUGCAUCACAUCGAGGUUGUGGCGCAGAAGAAGAUCCUUCCAAUAUGGCAACUCCCAAAAUAUACUCUUCUUGUGCCAGUUGUGAUGAACACCGUAAGAAUCAGGCAUAUUACGAGGGACAUGCCAAUUAUCACCCCAACGAACUGUUUCGUUAGCUCCGUAGUAGUCGAUUUGUGCUUCAAUUUGUUCUCCAGUUAGAUAUGGUGGAGGAGUGUCUCUCACAACCUUUUUGUGCCUAAACAAAUUCUUGUUUCUUCAGUAAGGAUGGCCAAUGGGAAGAAAUCGACGAUGACAAUCAAACCAACUUGUCUUCCUACCAUUCUUCAGUUGAAACGCAUCUGUCGUUCCAUUACAAUAUGGACAAGCUAAUCUCCCAUGUGUAGUCCAUCCAGACAACAUCUCAUAUGCAGGAAAGUCACUUAUGGUCCACAAAAGCAUAGCUCGCAUCGUAAAAUUCGUCUUCGUUGAACAGUCGUACGUCCUCACCCCUGUUGACCACAAAUCCUUCAACUCUUUUAUCAGUGGUUGUAGGAAAACAUCCAGGGACCUUUUUGGAUGGUUCGGACCAGGUAUCAAUAUCGUCAAGAAUAGCAACUCCCGUUGCAUGCACAUCUCCGGUGGCAGGUUGUAUGGCGUAAGAAAGACUGGCCACAAUGAAUAUUGUCUCCCUGACAUUCCGAACGGACUAAAUCCAUCUGUGCAUAAUCCGAGAUACACAUUCCGGCUAUUGCUAGCAAAAUCCGGAUGUACUUUGUUGAAAUGUUUCCAGGCUCUUGCAUCUGAUGGAUGAGUCAUCUCACCAUCCGUCUGAGUAUGCUCGGCAUGCCAUCUCAUCUUUGCAGCAGUCUGCUCUGAUUGAUACAAUCUUUUCAAUAUGUCUGUAAUUGGUAGGUACCACAUCCUUUGGUACGGUACCCUAUUACGUCGCCGUCCUUGCGGCUUGAAUCGUGGCUUCUUGCAGAAUCGACAUACUUCUAGCUUCUCAUCAUCUCCCCAAUAGAUCAUGCAGUUGUCAAUGCAAACAUCUAUCAUCUCCGAAGGCAACCCAAGACUAUAAACUAAUUUCUGAAUCUCAUAAUAAGAAUCAGCAGACAAAUUGUCUUCCGGCAAAUACUCUUUAAACAAGUCCGCCCAUUCGUUCAUGCAACUUUCAGGUAGAUUGUGAUCAGUUUUAAUAUUCAUCAUUCUAGCAGCCAACGACAAUUUAGAGAGACCUUCUCUACAACCACUGUAAAGUGGUUGAUUCGCCGCGUUUAACAUUCCGUAAAACUUUUUUGCAUCUAUAUUAGGUUCUUCAUCUUCAUCAUGAGCUACGAAUGCAUCAGCUACCAUAUCAUGAACCCUAUCAUAAUCUACCAUCUCCUCCUGAUGGUAACUAUGUUCAUUAUGCAAAUGAUGAUUAACCGGUUCUUCCUGAAAAUUGCUAUUACUACUACUAGCUUCAUUCUGAUCAUAAUUAUAACCUUCCCCAUGUUGAAACCAGAUAUAGGCCAUGUUCGUUUGCUCACCCAGGUGAUCCAUCUGGGUGAAGAUGCAAAUUGAUGUUCGUUUAGUGCAUUAUAAUGCUACAUCCAGAUGGAUCACCCAGCUGAACUCAUCUCAAAUUCUCAUCCAAAUGAAGGUGAGUCUUGAUGGUGCAUCUGGAUGCAGAUGCAUCUAGUUCAGUCCAAAAUAAUAAAUGACAAAAAUGAUUUUUUAAAAUUAAAGUAUUAUUUUCAAACCGUAAAUUCUAUUUUUUUUUGCACAUACAUUUUUUCGCUAUAACCAAAAAAUAUAUUUUCUCGCAAAACGGAAAAACACACUUUCCCGUCAAAACCGCAAGAUGCAUUUUUCUGCAAAAAAACAUAAAAACACAUUUUCAUUAAAACACAUUUUUCAGCUAAACCAGUAAAACCACACUUUUCGACCAAAACCCAAAAAAGGCAUAUUCCCGCCAAAACUUCAAAAGCAUUUUCCGGCCAAAACCGCAAAAAGCAUUUUCCCGCCAAAACCGGAAACAACGCAUUUUCUCGACAAAACGAAAAAAAACGCAUUUUCUCGCCAAAACCGAAAAAUACAAUUUUUCCGCCAAAACCGGAAUUUUCCCGCCAAAACUGGAAAACAGAAGUUUCCCGACAAAACCAGAAAACAUAAUUUUCCCACCAAAACCGGAAAAAUGCAUUUUCCCACCAAAACCGGAAAAAUGUAUUUUCCCGCUAAAAUCAGAAAACGUAUUUUCCCGCCAAAACCGGAAAAAUGUAUUUUCCCGCCAAAACCGGAAAAACGCAUUUUUCCGCCAAAACUUCAAAAGCAUUUUCCCGCCAAAACCGCAAAAAGUAUUUUCCUGCCAAAACCGGAAACAACGCAUUUUCCCGCCAAAACCGGAAAAUGUAUUUUACCGCCAAAACCGGAAAAUAAAAUUUUGCCGCCAAAACUGGAAAAACGCAUUUCCCGCCAAAACUGGAAAAAUGCAUUUUCCCGCCAAAACCGGAAAACGCAUUUUUCCGCAAAAACCGGAAAAACGUAUUUUUCCGCCAAAACCGGAAAAAUGUAUUUUUCCGCCAAAAUCGUGAAAAAAGACUUUUCAUGCAAAACACUUUUCCCGCCAAAACUUCAAAACACACUUUUUCCGUCCAACCCGCAAAAAACGUAUUUUUCCGCCAAACCCAUAAAACGUAUUUUUCCGCCAAAACCAUAAAAAUGCACUUGUUCGCGAAAAAUACAUAUUUCCUCAAAAAUCGCAAAAAUAUUUUCGGCCAAAACCGUAAAAAUGCUAUUUUUCCGCCGAAACGUAAAAAAUUAUAUUUUAGUCAUUUUAUUAACAAGUUCACCUAGAUGCAGAUGAAAGUUAAAAAAUGACAAGCAAACGAACAUAGUUGCAUUCAGAUGAUUCAUUUGGAUGCAUGGACGAAAUGAAGAAACGAACAACACCCAGAUGGAGCAUCUGGAUAAGACAUCUAGAUGGACCAUCUGGAUGCAUCUUCUAGAUGUACAAACGAACAGGGCCAUAGUAAUUUGGCGUGAAACCUCUAUUUAUUAAAUGCUUCCAAACAUUUUCACGGUUUGCCAAUUUCGAAUUGUUGCAUUUUCGACAAGGACAUAACAUCUUACCACUUUCUUGGGCGAGCGGUGUUGAAUCUGCUUGGUGCAUAAAUGUCUCCAGCCCCGCAAGGUAUUCUUUCGUCACUCUCCCGUUAGCAUCUCUAUGCAUAUACAUCCAAUUCCGCAACUCGUAAAUAAUCCCAGAGCCAGCCAUUUUUUUUUCUUUCACGUUUUUUGUUGUUGGUGUGUUUAAAAUGAUGUUCAAACAUCCAUAUUUAUAGAAAAUUUCGAAUCUGGUAGUUGUAAUUUUACUAUGAAAUUACGACGAAAAUUAAUUGGAUGGCCAAAAAAAAAACGUGAGCCACCUACCAAGUUGGUGGAUUCAAAAUUUCCUCGUUAAGUACACGUAAAAUAUUUCGUCGUAAAGAACUCGCGAAAUUUACGUGGCUUUUACGAGGAAAUAGUUUUUCCUCGUAAAAGCCACGUCAAUUUACAUCGUCUUUACGACGAAUAUGUUUUGUCAUUACCUUACGACGAAAUAACGAUGCUUUUCUUUUUCCACGUACUUUCCUCGCAAAAUCAACGGUUUUUUACGAGGAUUAUUUUUCCUCGUUAAAUUUCCUCGUUAAGGUUACGUUUUCUUGUAGUGUAUUAGCAUGUACUUCAUCUUCUUCCUUCUUGUUUCUCUGCUUUUUCAAUCGAGUCAAAAUCAACUUAUCCUGCACAGAAGUCAAAUCAACUUAUCUUAUGGAUAUGGAUGGUAUUAAGAGCUUUUGAAUAUAUUUUGAAUUAAUUUGAUAAGGUACACUAUAUAAUAAUAAAUUAAAUGGACAAACAAAUAACUAAAAAAGACUGAAUAUAUAUACAAACUAUAUAGUUAUAAAACCAAUUUAACAUAAAAUUAUGGAUGGAUAGAUUGUGGAUGGACAAGUUGUGUACAUAUAUUUCACACAGAUCAAUCAUUUCUGCAAAUUCAAAUUUUGUGUCCAAAUUAAAAAAACAUCAGAAAACAAGUGACCAUUGUGCAAUUAUGAAAAAGGUUAGAGUGCAAAAUUGGAAGUUAUGGGGGUUGAUUCAAAAAGACAUUUCUGUACGAUUUAGAAGUUUAAAGCACAAUGGGAAAAUAAUAAAGCAUUUAGGGACCUACUAUGAAACUAAGAAGAUAUCGCCAUUGGAAGUUAUCAAGUUCUGGGUUCAGGGCGACAGAGAGCUUGGAGAUUGGUGAUUGGCCGCGGGAAGACGUAACGGGUGUAGCUCGGACACGGUUGGCCACUGAAUCCAACCAGGAACAGGACAUGCGAGGACGCAGACCGGUUUUUGGGUUUUGUGUCACCGGCAAAGGAGGCCUAUGGCGAUUAUCUUGUAAUCAGCUCCUGGAAAUAACUCAACCUCUAGCUCAAUAUCUCUCUGACUCUUUCUUCUCUCAGCGAAGAGCGACCAUGGAGGAGACGCCAUCAUCGGAUUUGAUCUAUUGUCGUCAAAGCCAUCGUUUAUGAAUCCUUCGAAAAGAAUCACUGGUUUCACCACAAGCGAGAUUCUCUGCCAAGCAUGAACGUAUUGGAGGCGACGUAUUUGCCUAUCCCCAUCCAUUUGGAGAGAGAGUAGCGGCUGAUUCUGAAUCCUUGUGAGCCGUUGAUGGUUUCCGUGCUAGAGAUUGACUCUGUUAGAGAUGCAGAAGUCGAUUUCGAAGAUCCACUUAUCAACAGAUUUUAAUCAAACAUCGGAAUGUUCGGAUAGCUAUUCAUCCAAAUUGAAAGCUCCAAAACCCGUGGCAUGCUCCUCAUCCACAUAACACGUCGACUUGGACGAAUCCGAGAGACUCUCGUACCAACUCAGUCACCGUGUUCUCCAUUUAUUCAGACGACGGAGGAGGGAUUAGGGUUCAUUGAUUUGGGAAAGUGAUUUCAAAUUCUAAACAUGAAAAAGAAACAAAGAGGAUAAGGAGAGAAUCGUAAAGAUUUUUCUGAAUUCUAUAGUUUGUGUAAAAGUGACAAUUCAUAUAAAUAAGUAUGUCAGAUGUGUCUCUAGACGUAAUUGUAACUAGACCUUGAUCCGCGACCGCGCGAGUAUUUAAUUUAUGAUAUUUGUAAAUGUAGUCAUAUUUAUAAAUGUAAAUGUUAUAUUUGUAUUUAAUUUUAUAUUUUAGAGUUUUAGAGUAAAA
rnacentral:lncRNA from 1 species